UCCUACGGGAGGCAGCAGUGGGAAAUAUUGCACAAUGGGGGAAACCCUGAUGCAGCCAUGCCGCGUGUGUGAAGAAGGCCUUAGGGUUGUAAACUGCUUUUAUACGGGAAGAAUAAUACCCACGUGUGGGUAGAUGACGGUACCGUAAGAAUAAGGACCGGCUAACUCCGUGCCAGCAGCCGCGGUAAUACGGAGGGUCCGAGCGUUAUCCGGAAUCAUUGGGUUUAAGGGGUCCGCAGGCGGGCUAAUAAGUCAGGGGUGAAAGUUUGCAGCUCAACUGUAAAAUUGCCUUUGAUACUGGUUAUCUUGAAUUGUAUUGAAGUAGGCGGAAUAUGUAGUGUAGCGGUGAAAUGCAUAGAUAUUACAUAGAACACCAAUUGCGAAGGCAGCUUACUAAGUACCAAUUGACACUGAUGGACGAAAGCGUGGGUAGCGAACAGGAUUAGAUACCCUGGUAGUCCACGCCGUAAACGAUGGAUACUAGCUGUUCGGAAUUUAUUCUGAGCGGCCCAGCGAAAGUGAUAAGUAUCCCACCUGGGGAGUACGUUCGCAAGAAUGAAACUCAAAGGAAUUGACGGA
rnacentral:rRNA from 1 species